ACAGGAAUAUUUAGCUUAGAUGUGCAACCGGGAAUAAACUGUACAGUAACUCAAGAAAGAAGUGUUUGAAAGGUUCUUGAAAAAACACAAUUAAGCAGAAUGUGAGUUUGUUUUUGUACAUUGCGUUUUAACUUAAGAUCUAUUAUAUUUACUUUGUCACUUCACUUGAUCACUAAGAUGUAAAAAUACUGUUUCCACUAAUUCACCAUGAAGAAUAGACAUUGUGGGAAAUACGCAUAUGCUUUUUCUUGCUGUAGAUGAGGGGAGGAUACAUGAAAAGGUGUAAUUUGUAAGAAAUUAUCAAAAUUCAAGGGUAGCUCAAAAAACAUGGGGGGCAGCAUAACCGCUAACUGCUGCUCACUGCGCUGGACUUGCUAUCCUUUGCUGUAGAAACUAGCUGUUGAUGGGAAGAGGGUCAGUUUGCUUUGGAGUUAAGUGGAAAGGAGUCUGUCUGCAUUGCAGCCUCAGAUGACGGGAGGAGACAACGCUGUUGACGGGGUUCAGCUCAACAGGUCUGAGACUGAACGCAGCCUCUGAGUCUGACAGAUGCCAGUUUGGAGUAUGGAGGCGAUUUACAGCGGCUCUAACCAGGACUGUGACUUUGGGACUAGAAGACAGGGGUGGGGAAAAGAGAGCAUCAGCAGAAGAUGAAAACUGCGUAGAGCAGGAAUAUUUUCCCAUCUAAAACUUAUUUAUUUUGACCAAACCAGAGGUGUCAGUGGAAAUAUAAACCAAAAGUGUUUUGGUGAGUUUCAGGACAUUUGUGUUGAGUUCAGCAAAGGUGUUUAUGAUGACUUAAGGGAGCAACUAACUCAUCUUAGUUUGGUAAAAAUAAACAAAGAAAAAAAGUUUUUUCUUCACUUAUGUAUGCACCCAAUGGAAAUUUCGGGUGGAUUCUGGUGUUUAAAGUAAGAAUUUGGCUAUAUAUACCUAAACCCAUAUAUUUUUGUUGAGGAAACAUAAAUCCUCUUUAUACAAGAAUAACUGAACUGUUCAGCCCUUUAUUACCCUUAUCGGUGAAUGUGUACAGAAUAACUAAAUGUAUCAAAUAACCUUUAAUAUCCUAGCUCUUUAAAAAGAUGACAUAUUUCUUUACAUUAUGUGUUUAUUUUUUAGAAUAAGCAAAUUUGUAAAUUUGUAAAUGUGUGUAAAUUUUACAUCUUCUAACUAAAACUACAGGGAAGGCACAAAAGUGGUAACGUUAACGUUAUAACAAGACAUGGCGCUUAGCUCGUUGUCAUGCUACCAUCAGUAGGUAUCUUUGCAAAACAGCACAUCAAUACUGUUGUGUCUUAACAUUCUAUGGAUAAUAUUAGCUCAUUUUCUGUAACAUUUUAAAGUAAGAUUCUAGUCUUUAACAAGCCUGAAACCUUGUUUAUCCAAUUGUAGUUGACACACAGCUAGCGGCUUGUUAGCUAGUUAGCUUAGCUUGCUUGGAAACACAGCGUGGGUCCAUCCAAAGGUAAGAAAAUGUGACUACAGCUUAAAAACACUCACUUCUUGUGAAAUGCAUGUGAGCAAGGGCACACUCCAAGUUCAUCUCUGGUCCUGAAUUCUUCCAGACAGACUGCACAGGUUUGCUGCAAGAACAAAAACAACAACUCACCCAGACCACUGUCCUCACAAACUUCCUCGACCUACCUGAAUAGGUAGCAGCAGAAGAUGAGGCUGAGCAUGAAGACGAAGAGGCCGAUGCCCAGCACAAUGACAUACACAUUGAGCGGAAGGUGUGUCCAGGGAGCUGUGACUGGCACUGUGGUGGCAACUGAAGCGCUCACAGGACUGUGCGUUAAUUGGCUGUGAACAAGACAAACAUGGAGGACAGACAGCACUUCCGCCACACCACCAUCUGUUCCACAGACUCUAUAGAGAGGAAGGCAGGUAGAGCGGAGGAGGAGGGAAUGAGGAACCUCGGUCAAUAAGAGCGAGGAGAAUAAGGAAGCAAGAUAUGAAGGGAAACGACACAGAGAGAAAAGGAGGGAGACGAAGGGAGAGAGAAAAAAACAUCACAGCCCUGGACAAAGACGUCCACCCCCACACCAGCAGCCCUGGCUGCCAAUUCGCUGUAGGAGAGAACAGCUGCUGGGCUACUGGGCGAGAUGUGAGACGGUCAAGGGGAGUGCUGCUCGGCCAAUCCCCAGGGGGAGGGAGGGAGGGAGGGAGAGGCUUCAAUGGGACCCAUGCCAUUUUCAUUCACCCUCCCCUCCUCCCCUCCUGCUCUAGUAAUGACAUUACUGCUGCUGAACACUGAGGAACAGCUGGAUUGGCCACACAGAUGCAUGAGCACAAACACAGCUCUUAAUACACUGCAUGCAUUGUCGGUUGUUGACAGGUUUCAGAGUCAAAGAUGAUUGAAGCCACAGGGUUGUGUUGUCUCUGCAAGAUGGUGUUUUUGGUGACAGCAUGCCCUCUUGUGAGUUACAAUGAAAACACCAUGAAAACACCACUGUAUGCAGGACGUUCAGUGGAUGUAAAGUGAUCCCAGGCUACACAUAUUCAGCUGGAGAAAAAAAAUAAAGGCUUUUUCAAACACAGAAGACAAUUCCCUAGUGCUUCAGAGAACAGGGUGUUACCAGGGAGUGACGGAUGAAACUGGGAAUGAAGCGGGAAAAUGAGGGAGUGAGAGAGAUGCAAAUGUUGACCUUGUUUUCGUGACAUGUAAAUUGUUUUUGCUCUCACAGCCUUUUGUUUUUGCAUAAAUCAUAGGUUUGCCUGAUUUGAAAUACAGCGUCAUUUUUGGUUUGGUUUGUUCCUGACAAGGUUUAAGGCCUGAAAUGUGUUUGCAAAGAUUUAUAAACUCACAUACAAGUAUUCUGAUUGAAAUGGACUAGUUGGGAUUUUUGCAUUAUUUUAAUAAGACUGAUAAAUUCUUGUUACAUGUGCCAGAAUGGAUUGUGUCCAUUAAACUGUUAAAGGUGCAUUGUAUAAGCUAUGAUCUUAUCUAAUCUUAGUGUAAAACGUUCAAAAAAUGAGCUAGCAUUAUCCAUGAAAGUUAGCAUUGCUAGCCACCUAGCCCAGGCCUGCCCUAUCCCAUAAUACCACUUUGUUUUAAGGUCAGUAGCUGCCUGGCUAACUGAGCUAAUAGAUAGCUACAGCAAAUAUAAGGUAUAGCGAGCAGCAGGUGAAAGUUACAGUAGUGAUAUAUUGUCCCUUGUUUGUUUGGAGUGACCUUGUAGAGGUUGUAAGCAUGAAUGUGGCAUUGAAGUGACUGGUAACAAUUUAUUAUAACCACUAUUAAGUUAUUCCAAUAUUAACAAACAAUGUAAUGUUUUAUAAACCAUCUAUUAAGCAAUAUAGUAUUGUAAAGUUGCAACCAAUGUUUUAAUACUUUGUAAAUGGUAAUGAAUGCUGUGUAGUUCAUCUAAAAACCUUAUUUGGAUGGUAUUAUGUGGUGUUAGCUAGCUAGCAUUAGCGCUAUUUAUGUGAACUUGCAUUAGUGAGAUUGACGGUAGCUAACAUUAGUGAUAGCAACGUUUGUGUUUUACGACGUUAGCUGCAACAAACUGGCAACCACUUUAUAAUUCGAAAAAACAGUUAUGCUGUCAAUGCGGUGGA